AUUGAACGCUGGCGGCAGGCCUAACACAUGCAAGUCGAACGAAUGGCGGACGGGUGAGUAAUGUCUGGGAAAGUGCCUGAUGGAGGGGGAUAACUACUGGAAAAGGUAGCUAAAAGCGCAUAACAUAGGAUGUGCCCAGAUGGGAUUAGCUAGUAGGUGGGGUAAAGGCUCACCUAGGCGACGAUCCGUAGCUGGUGUGCGAGGAUGACCGGCCACACUGGGACUGAGACACGGUCCAGACUCCUACGGGAGGCAGCAGUGGGGAAUGUUGCACAAUGGGCGCAAGCCUGAUGCAGCCAUGCCGCGUGUAUGAAGAAGGCCUUCGGGUUGUAAAGUACUUUCGGCAGAGAAGCGUUACCCGCAGAAGAAGCCCCGGCUAACUCCGUGCCAGCAGCCGCGGUAAUAC
rnacentral:rRNA from 1 species